CGUUCGGAGAUAAAGCUCCUCGCCGGC
rnacentral:sRNA from 1 species